rnacentral:rRNA from 1 species
CCCUUAGAUGUUCUGGGCUGCACGCGUGCUACAAUGGCGUUUCCAGCAAGUCUGCGAACCCGAGAGGGCCAGCGGAUCUUCGAAUUGGCGUCGUGAUCGGGACAGUCGAUUGCAAUUAUUUGACUCAAACGAAGAAUUCCUUGUAAUCGCGAUUCAUCAUAUCGCGCUGAAUACGUCCCUGCCCUUUGUACACACCGCCCGUCGCUCCUACCGAUUGAGCGAUCCGGUAAAUGUUUUGGAUUGGUGCCGGGGCGGCUAGCUGCCGGUCGCUACGAAAUUUUGUGAACCUUAUCGCUUAGAGGAAGGAAAAGUCGUAACA